AAAAAGAAAAAAAAGAGAGAAACAAAGAGAACAGUGGAUGCAGGCAUACCGCGGAGGCACGGAGCGAAGGAAUCGGCGUUUCGAACCAGUCGUGUCUUCAUCGAUUUACACCUGUUGCGUCAGGUCCGGCACUCACCGCGAAACGAGAAUGAAAGUGCAAAGAGAGUGAAGAGAAACGAUAAGAGAUAAAAAGGCGAGACGUCCGCUGGAGCAACGCGUUCCCUCGAUUCCUGUUCAUUGAGACGACUAUGCGUCGCGAUCGCGUGCACGUCUCUUGGAGAGAAGGGGCGAAUGAAUAUUGCUGCGCGAAACCAGUACGAAAAUAGAGAAUGAAAACUCUACAGUCAGCGUAAACGACAGUAAAACGACACGGCGGCGCACGGUGGUAAAAUCGAUGUGGAACUUAUGGCUUGGAAUCGAGACAAGACCUUCACGAAGUACGACGAGAAAACAAAAAGGGGAUGUCUCGCGUCUCUCGGCAAACGCUGUCUAAAACGAUUCGUCACCUCUUUAACCUUGCUCCAUAGACGAGUAUUAUAUCAUUGUUUAAAACACGGCGUCUGCGAGAUGUUUACGCGGCUUAAAUUAAUUGAACGAUAGAUGUUUAAAGUUUGUGUUGUUCGAAAUAUCUGCGAGCAGGCUCUUCGUCUAUAACUUUUAACGCUCGAGCUGAUUGUACACACCGAUCUCGUGUUCAAUUAGCAGACUGCUUAAUUUUUAAAUAUGGCGCAUGAUGUGUGAUUGUUUUGAUGGCAUGAGCAAUGAGAAUCUCUGAGCUGUGACACUGAAACUUGGAACUCUCUUGCUUUCCCUUUUCCGAGAUUUUGUCGAUGCACAAUUGAUCAAGCAUGAGUCAAACAUGGGUUGGGUAACUGGAUUAUCCACAGAAUGGGCGAAUUGAACUGAAAAACAUGGUUUGAUAUAUAGAAAAAAUUUGGAAACACCCAGCGAAGGAACAAUAUAUUAUAGU